UACGGAGGGAGCUAGCGUUGUUCGGAAUUACUGGGCGUAAAGCGCACGUAGGCGGCUUUGUAAGUUAGAGGUGAAAGCCUGGAGCUUAACUCCAGAAUUGCCUUUAAGACUGCAUCGCUCGAAUCCGGGAGAGGCGGGUGGAAUUCCGAGUGUAGAGGUGAAAUUCGUAGAUAUUCGGAAGAACACCAGUGGCGAAGGCGGCCCGCUGGACAUGUAUUGACGCUGAGGUGCGAAAGCGUGGGGAGCAAACAGG
rnacentral:rRNA from 1 species